rnacentral:rRNA from 1 species
UACGGGGGGGGCAAGCGCUGUUCGGAAUUACUGGGCGUAAAGGGCUCGUAGGUGGCCAACUAAGUCAGACGUGAAAUCCCUCGGCUUAACCGGGGAACUGCGUCUGAUACUGGAUGGCUUGAGUUCGGGAGAGGGAUGCGGAAUUCCAGGUGUAGCGGUGAAAUGCGUAGAUAUUGGGAAGAACACCGGUGGCGAAGGCGGCCAUCUGGACCGCAACUGACGCUGAGGCGGCGAAAAGCGUGGGGAGCAAACAGGG